GAGGCUAUAGCUCAGUGGUAAAGCGCUCAUGUGGCAUGUGUGAGGCACUGAGUUCGAUCCUCAGCACCACA
rnacentral:tRNA from 1 species